AUUGAACGCUGGCGGCAUGCUUUACACAUGCAAGUCGAGCGGUAACAGGCCUUCGGGUGCUGACGAGUGGCGAACGGGUGAGUAAUGCAUCGGAACGUACCCAGAGGUGGGGGAUAACGCAGCGAAAGCUGUGCUAAUACCGCAUGUGAUCUGAGGAUGAAAGCGGGGGACCGAGCAGCAAUGUUUGGCCUCGCGCCUUUGGAGCGGCCGAUGUCGGAUUAGCUAGUUGGUGGGGUAAAGGCCUACCAAGGCGACGAUCCGUAGCUGGUCUGAGAGGACGACCAGCCACACUGGGACUGAGACACGGCCCAGACUCCUACGGGAGGCAGCAGUGGGGAAUUUUGGACAAUGGGCGCAAGCCUGAUCCAGCGAUGCCGCGUGCGGGAAGAAGGCCUUCGGGUUGUAAACCGCUUUUGGCAGGAACGAAACGGUGUCCGCUAAUACCGGGCGCUAAUGACGGUACCUGCAGAAUAAGCACCGGCUAACUACGUG
rnacentral:rRNA from 1 species